rnacentral:rRNA from 1 species
GGCGAGUGAAGCGGCAAGAGCUCAAAUUUGAAAUCUGGCCCCUUUGGGGUCCGAGUUGUAAUUUGCAGAGGAUGCUUCGGGUGCGGUCCCCGUCUAAGUGCCCUGGAACGGGCCGUCAUAGAGGGUGAGAAUCCCGUCUGGGAUGGGCGGCCGCGCCCGUGUGAAGCUCCUUCGACGAGUCGAGUUGUUUGGGAAUGCAGCUCUAAGCGGGUGGUAAAUUUCAUCUAAAGCUAAAUACUGGCCGGAGACCGAUAGCGCACAAGUAGAGUGAUCGAAAGAUGAAAAGCACUUUGAAAAGAGAGUUAAACAGCACGUGAAAUUGUUGAAAGGGAAGCGUUGUCCACCAGACUCGCCCGGGGGGGUUCAGCCGGCACGUGUGCCGGUGUACUCCUCUCCGGGCGGGCCAGCAUCGGUUUGGGCGGCUGGUGAAAGGCCCCGGGAAUGUGCCACCCUUCGGGGUGCCUUAUAGCCCGGGGUGCCAUGCAGCCAGCCUGGACCGAGGCCCGCGCUUCGGCGAGGAUGCUGGCGUAAUGGUGGUCAACGGCCCGUCUUGAAACACGGACCAAGGAGUCUAACAUCUAUGCGAGUGUUCGGGUGUCAAACCCGUCCGCGCAGUGAAAGCGAACGGAGGUGGGAGCCCCUCGGGGCGCACCAUCGACCGAUCCUGAUGUCUUCGGAUGGAUUUGAGUAAGAGCAUAGCUGUUGGGACCCGAAAGAUGGUGAACUAUGCCUGAAUAGGGCGAAGCCAGAGGAAACUCUGGUGGAGGCUCGCAGCGGUUCUGACGUGCAAAUCGAUCGUCAAUUUGGGUAUAGGGGCGAAA